rnacentral:rRNA from 1 species
CCUACGGGAGGCAGCAGUGGGGAAUAUUGCACAAUGGGCGGAAGCCUGAUGCAGCAACGCCGCGUGCGGGAUGACGGCCUUCGGGUUGUAAACCGCUUUCGCCUGUGACGAAGCGUGAGUGACGGUAAUGGGUAAAGAAGCACCGGCUAACUACGUGCCAGCAGCCGCGGUGAUACGUAGGGUGCGAGCGUUGUCCGGAUUUAUUGGGCGUAAAGGGCUCGUAGGUGGUUGAUCGCGUCGGAAGUGUAAUCUUGGGGCUUAACCCUGAGCGUGCUUUCGAUACGGGUUGACUUGAGGAAGGUAGGGGAGAAUGGAAUUCCUGGUGGAGCGGUGGAAUGCGCAGAUAUCAGGAGGAACACCAGUGGCGAAGGCGGUUCUCUGGGCCUUUCCUGACGCUGAGGA